ensembl:lncRNA
GGGCACGCGAUCGACGGGGGGGCUCCGGGCCUCCCGGUGCCCCGCUCCGGCCCCGCAAAUGGUGCCCAUGCCCGGCCCCCUCCUCCUUCUCCUCCUCCUCCUCGACUGCCCCGGCAGCGCGGCCGCCGGCCCUGCCAUCACAGGCAAGCCGCACGCUUGCUCCCUGCUACUCAGCUGACCUCAGGCCUGCAUCGGGGAGACUCGUCUCGGCUAUGGGCUGCACUGUGCGUCUGACAGUUCCACCGCUGCAGGUCGGCAGAGCUGUCAUCUGGGAAUACAAAACUGCCCAGCAGGAAGGAGCCAUCCUCAGUUAUGCUUUCGAUGGACGCAGCAACACCUCUCACCCCUGUGAGAACCGUGUGAGGUUCAACAGAACGGACUUCUCACUGCAGAUGGUGCUGCAGUGGGGGGACGACCGGCUGUACCGCUUCAGGUCCGAGCUGGAGGCCACGGGCUGGUUCCAGCUGCAUGUUGUGGAACCGCUUUCCAAGCCAGAAAUUGUGGGCAACUCAUCAGUGAAGGCAGGAGACAACACCAAACUGGUUUGCAACAUCCUGAAAGGGAAGGCAGACUCGUACUGGUGGAAGAAAAACGGGGUGCUGCUGCUGAGGAGCGACCACAUUCAGCUUGAGAAUACCACCCUGUGCAUCCUGAGAGCCUUGAUGAAUGACAGCGGCUACUACGCUUGCGUGGUCCACAACAAAGUCAGCCAGAAUGAAACCUCCUUCCUGCUCCGUGUCCAGAACGCAGCAAACGUGGUGCUGCCCAUGAUGCUGGCGUGCAUUGCCCUGGGCUUGCUGGCAGGUCUCUUCGUGUGGUGCAGGUCAAGGGACCGCUAGUGUCACGGCGGCUCUAGGUAGAGAGAGCUUGAAGAGCUGCACUCUUAGUGCCUUUCCCUGAUGGUGGGUGCUGCCUGCAGGGCGCCGGACGUCUGAUGCUGUCCAACCUCUUUUGGGCUCACCUCUGAAUUGCUCAAGGGCUGAACCCCAUGAAUAGUUUUGUGUAAAACCCUAGAUUAGGCUGUUCCUGUGCUGUCCUCCUCUUCCCCUGGCACCGUGCACAUCCCUGGCAGGGCUGGACGUGGCUGUUGUGCUCCAGAGCUCCUGACCUUGCCUGGCUUCCUUCAGAAGCCAUGUCGGGUGAGUGCUUGUGGGUGGGCUGAUGGCCCUGGAAGGAGGCACCAUCCCCACUGGACAGACACCCGGUCCUGGGAGUGCUGGAGUGUGCUGCAGUGCCAGCCCUGCCUCGCCAGGGCUUGAGCCCCUCACUGUGGUCGCCUGGGGUGCUGCUGUGUGCUGUGGCUGGGACUUGGAUCAGGGACUGGGACCGCAGGCAUUCUACUCGUCUUGGUCCUUGGAAGGAGGGAAAAGGGCAGGAUUUUGAUGUCCUGUGACUGGGGAGUCCAGGAGAUGUGCGAAGGUGGCAGGGGAUGGAGCAGCAAAGUUGUUUUGUUUCAGAAAGCAAAACUCCCUGUGCUGGUGUGUUAGAGCAGCGGUGUGCCUGGAGGGGAGAUGCAGGCAUGUUCCCCAGCCCAGCUCCUCUGUUCUACAGCCUUGGUUGCUGGUAGGAUCUGGGACACGCCUUCCUCUUCCAAGCACCAGCCACCUGGGUUGUACAUGUGCCGAUGUGAGCUCAUCCUUCCCUCUUGCGCUCCUGUGGUUAAUGGGAGAUGAUGGGAGGCUUGGUCUGGUUUGGUUUGGCCAGGGCAGCACUGGUCCAACCCUCUCCUGUUGUCUCCCUUCCCCAUGCUGCUUCUGCAAAGCUGUUCUGGGCUUUGCUUGUGAGGAGGGUGUUAUUUGUUCUUAUAGUGGAAAUUACUGGAGAAAACUGGACGCUCCCCCAGGAGCGCUGACCCUCACAAAGUGCCUUGACUGAUCCUGGGGCUGGGGUGUUUGCACCCAUCGUUCAUUCCGAUGGGUCAAGCCCAGGUCCAGCACCCCCCUGAGCCAGCCCCCAGCCCCACUGCGGGGUGCAGGCAUUUUGGGUGCCCUGGUCUAGCUACUGGAUGGUCACAUCUCUCCCAGAGCAGCUGGUGGCUUGGGGACAUCUUGCUCCAAGGCACUGUCAGCAAAUGGAGAGCGGUACAGAGGGAUGUUUCUGUUGCUUGGGUCUGCUGCUUCUGCAGCAAAAGGCUUUCCUGGCCUGGGGAGCUGUGUGUUUCCCUCCCCUCAGAGUUAUCCCAUCUCUUUGGAGAACACAAGUGCACCCAGGAGAGGCUCAAGGUCAUAUCCUAUGGCGUGAGCAGUCGCUAGGCUGUCCUACACCCCAGAGCAAACAGGAAUGCAGCCACGUGGUUACAGAAAAUACUUCAUUAAACCUUUCAGAGUUGCAUGUGAAUCAUUUUGGAGACGUUUUGGUGUUUUAAGGUUUGCUGCUACUAAUAAAAGUGCGUGUGUUA